GUGGAGCAUGUGGCUUAAUUUGACUCAACGCGGGGAAUCUUACUAGGUCAGGACCAUCGCGAGUCGGUUUGUGAUUCGUAUUGUAUGAUUGUCGCAGUGUCGCUGCUACAAAAUUAUUGGAUGAGUGGUGCAUGGCCGUUCUUAGUUCGUGAUGCAAUUUGUCUACUUAAUUGUUGGUUACGUAUGUUUCAUCGCAUCGUAACCGUAACGAACGAGACCGUGUUGUGUACCGUAGCUGGCGACACUGCUUCGAUCAUCGGUACAUACACAGAGCAAAUCGAAACUUGCUAGGAAGGACGCGGCAAUAACAGGUCUGUGAUGCCCUCAGAUGUUCUAGGCCGCACACGUGCUACAAUUUGAUUGUUUCAUCGUGUGUGUAAGAUUCACCGCUGCGAGUCGAACCAACGUCACCGAUGGUUGGGAUCGUCACUUGUAACUAUUUGACGUAACAACCAGGAAUGCCUCGUACGGUGGGUUCAACAGAUUCCCUGGAAUCCGUCCCUGCCCUUUGUACACACCGCCCGUCGCUCUUACCGAUGGUGGUAGGUUCGAGUUGCGAGGAGUCUCUUCACCGGGGCGAAUCGUAACGAGAACCUACUGCUAAAGGAAAGAGAAGUCGUAACAAGGCAUCG
rnacentral:rRNA from 1 species